GAUGAACGCUGGCUGUGUGCCUAAUACAUGCAUGUCGAGCGAAGCACUUUUGUGCUUAGCGGUGAAUGGGUGAGUAACACGUACUUAACCUACCCUCAAGAUUGGGACAACACUUGGAAACGAGUGCUAAUACCAAAUACGUAUUUUUAUCGCAUGAUAGAUAUAUAAAAGGAGCUUCGGCUUCACUAGAGGAUGGGAGUGCGCUACAUUAGUUAGUUGGUAGGGUAAUGGCCUACCAAGACUAUGAUGUAUAGCGGGGCCGAGAGGCUGAUCCGCCACACUGGGACUGAGAUACGGCCCAGACUCCUACGGGAGGCAGCAGUAGGGAAUUUUCCACAAUGAACGAAAGUUUGAUGGAGCGACACAGCGUGCAGGAUGAAGGUCUUCGGAUUGUAAACUGCUGUUAUAAGAGAAGAAAAACCCUGGUAGGUAAUGACCAGGACUUGACGGUACCUUAUCAGAAAGCGACGGCUAACUAUGUGCCAGCAGCCGCGGUAAUACAUAGGUCGCAAGCGUUAUCCGGAAUUAUUGGGCGUAAAGAGUUCGUAGGUGGUUUUGUAAGUCUGAAGUUAAAUACCGGGGCUCAACCCCGGCCCGCUUUGGAUACUGCAAAACUAGAGUAAUAGAGAGGUUAGUGGAACUCCAAGUGAAGCGGUGGAAUGCGUAGAUAUUUGGAAGAACACCAAUGGCGAAGGCAACUAACUGGAUAUUAACUGACACUGAGGAACGAAAGCGUGGGUAGCAAACAGG
rnacentral:rRNA from 1 species